CACAGAGGCACGUUGAGAAUCAGGUGUGUUUUCACCUUUUUGUUGAUAAAACAGAAUUUCUUUUAUGUUUUCUGCUUUAGUUCUGUCUCCUAACAUCAGAGCAACUGUCUUUUUCAUUACACAGCGCUGCCACCUGGCGGUCAGAUCAGGAACUAUCUCUCAUUUUUCAGUUACAGCACAUUACCCAAACACUGCCUGAUCCUUUUAUCUUAAAUACAGAAAGUUGUGGGUCUUACCUGAUGGAUUUGUGUCCUCCUCUGUUACACAGGUGUUCAAAGACUUGCAGGUUUGAGAGGUUUGAGACAGGCUCAGCACAGGUGUAUCUUCUGGAGACAAUCAGUGGUGAGGCUUUCAGUUACAUCAUUAAUGUCAUUAGUUACACCUGUGACUUUUUUUUUCCACGCUUGAAGGUAACUGCAGUGAGGCAGACCACUAGGGGAGCAGUCUGAGGAGAAUUUAGUGUCUCACAGAGAAAAUAUUUUAUUGAGCUGUAGUAAAACCACAAGUCAGAUAAUCUACUCAUGUAAAAAAAAAAAAAAUUCUGGAUGAGGGAUAAGCCCCUAAAUUAUGUGAAAAUUUAGCUUACUUUCUCAAACUAUUUG